rnacentral:rRNA from 1 species
UACGGGGGGGAGCAAGCGUUGUUCGGAUUUACUGGGCGUAAAGGGCGCGUAGGCGGUCAGCACAAGUCAGUUGUGAAAUCUCCGGGCUUAACUCGGAAAGGUCAACUGAUACUGUGCGACUAGAGUGCAGAAGGGGCAACUGGAAUUCUCGGUGUAGCGGUGAAAUGCGUAGAUAUUGGGAGGAACACCAGUGGCGAAGGCGGCUCACUGGACCGGUACUGACGCUGAGGAGCGAAAGCGUGGGGAGCAAACAGG